rfam:Homo sapiens chromosome 12, GRCh38 reference primary assembly.
GCUGGGCGUGGUGGCGCGCGCCUGUAGUCCCAGCUACUCGGCAGGCUGAAGCAGGAGAAUUGCUUGAACCCGGGAGGCGGAGGUUGCAGUGAGCCGAGAUCGCUCCACUGCACUCCAGCCUGGUGACAGAGUGAGACUCCGUCUCAAAAAAAAAAAAAAAAAAGUACAAAGGCCACCAGGGAAACAAAGCCAGUAGGGUGAGAUUUCAAAUUCCAAAUUCCCCAAUUUUUUUUUUUUUUUUUGAGAGGGACUCUCGCUCUGUCGCUCAGGCUGGAGUGCAGUGGCUCGAUCUCGGCUCACUGCAAGCUCCGCCUCCCAAGUUCAAACGAUUCUCCU